rnacentral:misc_RNA from 1 species
ACCGCGGCCAGAGUCAAGGGCAGCCAAAGCAGAGUAAAACCCAGAAGAAGAUUAGCCAACAGGUCGCCGUAGUGGGCGCCGCCGUCGAAGAACACGAUUUCUUCGGCGGCGUUUCUCGAAGCGGCGGCGGCGGCCCGAGAAGUGUUGGUGGAGGAAGAGACGAGGAUGCGGGUGGUGGGUCUGUUGAAUUGUGGAGUGAUUUUUGAGGGGAAAUUGUAUAACAGUGGUCGGUGGGUUGAGGAGGAGGAGGUGGUGG